AUGUUCUGGAAGGAAUCAGGGAAGCCCAGGCAUGCCCGUCACACACCCGCCGCAGACAAGAGGGCUGGGAAGGUGGGGGCAGAGGCGGAGGCAGGGACCCCCGGCCCGCGGUCGGAACGCUCCGCCCCAGCGUCCCCAGCGUCGGCUCCUGUGCCCUGACUGUCAAAGACGAAAGGAGGGACCAGCCUUCUGUGCUCCCGUUCGUAGGACCAAGAGCCCGGGUCUGGGCUUGAACGGUCAUACGGGAAGGUAUGCAGGUCACGAGCACACGGCUCGAUGAUAUGCUCCCAAACCAAACACCGCCCUGUAACCGGAACCCUGAUCCAGAAACAGAACGGAACCAGUGCCCCAGAAUGCCACCCUCACACCCUCUUCCAGUCGGCACCCCCAAAAGGUAGCCAGUCUCCUGGCUUCUACCAGCAUAGAUUUGCUUUACCUGUCUUGAAAUUGUAUGUGAAAAGAGGCGCACAGUAUGUAACCGUUUGUGUCUUUGUCUCAGUUGGACAUCAUGUUUGUGAGAUUUAGCUGUAUUUUUACCUACAGCACACUGAUUUUCAUUGCUGUUCUGCACUCCACCGUGUGAAUACAGUGCAGUUUGUUU